rnacentral:rRNA from 18 species
AUUCUCUUUGACUAGGGAUCCAAAGAGGGUGCUAGACCCUUACGCAUUGUUGACUUUUCGUACGCGUUCGUUUCUUGGAGUAGGGUUGUUUUGGAUCGCAGCCCAAAGUAGGUGGUAUACUUCAUCUAAAGCUAAAUACGACUACGAAUCCGAUAGCAAACAAGUACCGUGAGGGAAAGUUGCAAAGUACUUUGAAGAGAGAGUUCAAGAGGACGUGAAACCGGUAGGGUGGAAGCAGAUAAAGUUGACGAACGUGUGUCGUAUUCAGAACUACAAUUUGUGGUUUGUUUUUACGAUCGAUGUGGGCUGGCGUCUUUGGUUAACUUAGUGUCUGGCGGCAAUGGUGACCCUGCGGAGGGAUAAUCGGUUGUCGUGCGAUGCUUGGUAUGGCUAGAGGUUCGCUGGUCUUAUAGUCAUCGCUUUAUCUGACCCGUCUUGAAACACGGACCAAGGAGUGUAGCGCUUACGCGAGUCUUAGAGUGUGUCAAAACUUUGAGGCGUAACGAAAGUAAAUGUGGAUUUAUUCACUGACUUGGGAUGCGUUGUCUUUUUUGGAUAGCGUUGGACCAUGGUUUUAUCGUAAUCGCUUGCGAUGCGGUGAAAAUAGAGCGUAAGCGGUGCGA